ACACUUAAUCUAAAGGACAAGGUUAUUUUAAAUUGUGAGAAGUGUGUUUGGAUAUCCCUCAAAAUGUCGUACAUGCUCCCUCAUCUUCACAAUGGCUGGCAAGUGGACCAGGCUAUUUUAUCAGAGGAAGACCGUGUGAUUGUUAUACGAUUUGGCCACGAUUGGGACCCUACGUGUAUGAAAAUGGAUGAAGUGUUGUACAGCAUCGCCGAAAAGGUGAAGAAUUUUGCAGUCAUUUAUCUUGUGGAUAUCACAGAAGUGCCAGAUUUCAACAAGAUGUACGAGUUGUAUGAUCCCUG